GACGAACGCUGGCGGCGUGCUUAACACAUGCAAGUCGAACGAUGAAGUUCCUUCGGGAAUGGAUUAGUGGCGAACGGGUGAGAAACACGUGAGAAACCUGCCUUUCAUUUUGGGAUAACUCCGGGAAACCGGAGCUAACACCGAAUACUCCGUCUCGGCGGCAUCGCUGAGCCGGGACAAAAUUAUGAUGAAAGAUGGUCUCGCGGCCUAUCAGCUAGUUGGUGAGGUAAUGGCUCACCUAGGCGACGACGGGUAGCCGGCCUGAGAGGGCGACCGGCCACACUGGGACUGAGACACGGCCCAGACUCCUACGGGAGGCAGCAGUGGGGAAUAUUGGGCAAUGGGCGCAAGCCUGACCCAGCGACGCCGCGUGAGGGAUGAAGGCCUUCGGGUUGUAAACCUCUUUCAGUAGGGAAGAAGCGAAAGUGACGGUACCUAAAGAAGAAGCACCGGCUAACUAUGUGCCAGCCGCCGCCGUAA
rnacentral:rRNA from 1 species